rnacentral:rRNA from 1 species
UACGUAGGGGGCAAGCGUUGUCCGGAAUCACUGGGCGUAAAGCGUGCGUAGGCGGUUGUGUAAGUCUGAAGUGAAAGUCCAAGGCUCAACCUUGGGAUUGCUUUGGAAACUGCAUGACUUGAGUGCUGGAGAGGCAAGGGGAAUUCCACGUGUAGCGGUGAAAUGCGUAGAUAUGUGGAGGAAUACCAGUGGCGAAGGCGCCUUGCUGGACAGUGACUGACGCUGAGGCACGAAAGCGUGGGGAGCAAACAGG